UGGGGAGAACAAGGGAAUCCGUGGCUGAUAUGUAGAACUGAAUUUUAUUAUAAAAUAAAAAAAAGAAUAAAGAAAAUGUGGUACAUGUAAAAAAAAAUUGAGACAUCAUCAUGGUGGACUUUUCCUUUGAUGACUGUAUACUGUCAUUCCCCAUCUCUUUUGAUUAAUUUUGGUUUGAAGACACUAACAGAUAUUUUAUAUGCUUAUGGGCAUUUGGAUGAGCAAUGAAGCCACAGCAAUGAGCUCCUGUGGGCUAAAGAUCAAACCCCAGUGCUUCACAAAUGGUAGGCAAAUAAUGUACUACUGAGUCAAUUUUUACACCAAAUUUCCUUCAGUCAGUCAUGGUGACGCACACCUGUAAUUCCAGCAUUUGAAAAGCUGAAGCAGGAAGAUCACCACUAGCUAGAGGUCAGAUCAGAACACAGAAUGAGACCUUGGUCCAACAACACAAAACAAUUUCCUUAUUGUAGGACUAAGAUCUCACCUGGGCACAUUAUGUGCAAAUUCCACAUUAUGUUCUUGAGAAAUAAAGUGCAAAGUUUUUCUUGCCUCUAGUAGACCCAAUGGUGAUGACUGUUUCAUGGUUAGACUUUCCAUUGGCAAAUGUUAAAAUAUUUUAAAACUAAUCUGUCACUUUCACUUUAUUUUUGCCCUUCUCCUAGAGGUUGCCAUAGAUAGAUAGAUAGAUAGAUAGAUAGAUAGAUAGAUAGAUAGAUAGAUAGAUAGAUAUAGAUACCCAUAUAUAUAUAUAUAUAUAUAUAUGUAUUAUACAUGAAUUUAAUAAGUAUAUUUUUUAAUGGAGCAUAAGGGCUCACACUUCUCAUCCUAGUAUUUUGGUGGCAGGGCAAGAAGUCUAAUGCUAACCUGGUUCAAUUAGUGAUGCAUAACUCAACUUAUGAAUAUGUAUGAUUAAGAGAUAAUUAAUACAAUGAAAAUGAAAUGCUUUUAUGUGAUACUAUUUCUCUAUUUCUCCUAUAACUCCCUUUAAUCAAUUGGCACCUUUAUGUGUCACUUAGAGAAACUUUUUUUAGGUAGGAUCUCAAUGGGCUAAGACUGACCUUGAACUCCAAAUUCUCUUGUUUCCACAUCCCUGUUAAUGAUGACAGAUGUCAGGAUUCCAUAUCUACCUGACAAAGACAUUUCACUAAAGAUAAAUUUUAGUGAGACCUCUGUUCUGCAGGCUACAGUCCUUAGCCUAAUACUCAAUAUUUUAUUUUCAGAGCCAUAUAUAAUUAUAUAGGGAUAUAAUGGAUAUAAUUUGACAAAGAAAGAUUGUUCAUUUAAUUCUAUGGACUGUUGCUUGUGAAAAGUAAAUUUCUAAUUCCUUUAAAUGCAGCCAUUGCUGGGACAUUUUAAAAGUGUUCUUCCUCCAAGAUAAACAUGUAUAUGUCUUCUGGUAAUAACAUUCAGAAGCCAAAACUACAUUGUAGUUGUACUUAAACAGUUUAAAUAGGCUGGAAAGUUUGCUCAGUGGUAAGUGUGCAUAUGAAGUUUGCUUAGGACCAAUUUCAAUUCACACCCUCGGGUUGCCAAUUCUUUUGACUAUGAAUGAAAUCAACACUUAUUCCAGAUUUGUGAUCUUUCAUAACUCCUUUUUGAUAUGCAUCCUAAAUGCUUUGUUCUUCUCUUUCCUGGGAUAUUCUUUUGUGACUCAUUUUGUGUUCUUGUUUCUUGGGGCAGAGUCUCAUAGCCCAGGCUGACCUCAAACUCCCUAUGAACCCAAGAAUGACCUUGAACUUCUGAUCAGUUUACCUCCACCUCUUAAGUGCUGGAAUGACAGGCAUCCUUAUCUGUCUUAGGAUUUCUAUUGCUGUGAAGAGACACGGUGACGAUGAUGGUAUACCUGGUUCCAUGGAGACCAGAAAAGUUUCAGAUCUCCUAGACCUAGAGAUAUAGGUGUUUUUGUGUGACAACAUGGGUACUGGAAACCAAACCCAAGUUCUUUGGAGGAGCAUCAAGUGCUGAAAUCAGAAGAGAGCAUUGGAUUCUCUUGACCUGAUGACAGGAAUAGUUGAAAACCUCAAGGGAACUGAUCUAGGACCUCUUCAAAAGCAACAGGAUACAAUGCAAUUCUUUAUGAGGAUAUGCAUGUGAACUUCACUCAUGAAGAAUGAGCUUUGGUAGACCCUUCCCAAAAGAGUCUCUACAAAGAUGUGAUGCUGGAAAUCUACUGGAACCUCACAUCUAAGGGUACAUCAUCUGUCACUCUGGAUACAAGCCAUUUGAGCAUAAGGGAUAUGGAAAGAAACAUUGUACUUCUGUCUCUCUCAGAACAGCUGGAAGAUAUGUAGUAGUCCCUACUAUGAGAAGGCAUGAUGACUGUGAUACAAACUUACAACUAAUUGAUUUUCCAACUUCAGUGGGAAUACAUCAAUAAACUCACAUUGGAGAAAACCCUUAUGAUUACAAGGAAUAUGGAAAUUUGUCUGUCUAUACUAGAUCACUUUGCACUCAGUCUCAGAAAAUGUUAUGAAUGCAAUCAUUGUAGCAAAGUUCUGAGUCCUUCCAGUUCUCUUCAAAGAAACAAAAACCUCAUAUGGGAAGGGGAGUAAAAAAUGUGAACCAUACACUAAAUGCUUUAGCCAUUAAGGGUAUCUUCAAACACAGAAAGCAACCAAUAAUGAAGAGGAUCUCUACGAAUGUAGUCAACAUGAUAAACUCUGAUCUGAUUCCUCCUUAAGAGUGCACCAAAGAACUUACUUGGAAUGAAAACUCUAUGAAUAGUCAAUGUUAUAGAUCGUUUGCUUGUCACAGUCUUCAUUAAAUACAUACAACUCACACUAAAAUGAAAAGGUAUAAAUAUCAAUGGAAUAUUUACACAUUCCAGUUAUCUCCAAAUACAUAAAAGAAGACAUUCUGGUGGAAAACGCUAUGAAUGUAAUCAGUGUAGUAAAGUCUUUGCAUGUUGCAGUAACUUUCAAAAUCAUGAAAAAUUCACACUGGUGAAAAUCUCCAUGAACCUAAUAAAUGAGGUAAAGCCUUGCAGUCCACAUACAUUUUUCCCACUGAGCUAUCUCAUUGGUGAUUAUGUAGGAUUAGUAGAGUCACAGUUAAAACACUGUCUCCUUUACAAGUUGUAAACAUAUUAUACUCCAAGAAUAUAGAAACAUAUGAUUCUUUGAAUAGUAAAGCAUAUUUGCAAAUGAAAAUUAUAUUUAUGCUGUCAUCCAUUAUUUUUGAAUCAUGUUACUUCAUUCUGAUGACUAAACAUUUGUUCUUAACAUAUUCUCAGAAGCACAAGUGAAUGGCAGAAAAUUUUGUCAGUAGGUCAAUAUCGUUGCUGCAAAGCCUGAUGGCCAGAUGAUAUUAAGUUCCAGGAAGGCCUUGGGUAUAUUUAGAGACCUUUUCUCAAAAAAAAAAUCCAAAAAAGUAAUGUGGAAAGGGGUACAUUUCCACAGGACCCAGGUUUAAUACUUAGUACCCAGCUAUAAGCUCACAACUGAGCCAGGCGGUGGUGGCGUGUACCUUUAAUCCCAGCACUCAGUAGGCAGGUGGAUCUCUGUGAGUUUGAGGCCAGCCUGGUCUACAAAGUGAGUUCUAGGACAGGCUGCAAAGUUACACAAAGAAAUCUUGUCUCAAAAUAUAAAACAAAAACAAGCAAAACAAACAAACAAAUAGAAGCUCACAACUGUCUCUAAGUCCAGUUCUAGGGGAUCCAAUACCCUCAAACAGACAUACAUGCAGGCAAAAGACUUGUUCACCUUAAAUUUUAAAAAAAAAUCACAUUUUAAUAGUAUAAACAACAUUGUAGAACUUUCCCUAGCAUAAUGUGAACUCAUCUCUCCACAGCUAAAUCAGUUGUGGUCAUUCACAUCAAGAGAAUUGUACUAACAAUUAAAAUAAUCGAUGUGUAGAAACCAUUUACAAAGGAAUGGAAAUUCACUCAAUCCUUCAUUGAUCAGGUAGCAGGGACUUUUGUCACCUGCAAAUGAUGGAAGGCAGAAGGUGUAAGGGAAUAUCUUCAUUUUCUGAAUUAUAAUGACAUAUUUGGGAGCUGGAGAGUUGACUCAGUAGCAUUGCUGCUGUUAGGCUGCAAGUGUGGUUCCUAGCACCCAAAUUAGGUGGAUCAGAAAUACCUGUAAAUCCUAAUCAAGCAGGUUGGAUGCAAUUUUAUGCUUUCUUUGGGCACCAGGAAUGUUAAUGGUAUAAAGGCAGAAAUAUGUAUAUGUAUAUGUGUACAUGUACAUAUGUAUUUUUGUGUGUGGCAAAAUGAUGAGAAAAGGAGACUCCAUAUUUUGAAAAGAGUUUUCUUCAUGUAUUUGUUAUUUUUUUUUAAAUAAAAUUACUUUUAUUCAUGUUUAUUUUUGGAACACUGUCCUGGAAUGAAGUCAUGUGAAGAGAAUUUUUACUGCUUGUGUGUACACUUCAAGAAAAUAAAACAAGACAAUUGUGACUUCGGUUUCUUCAAAACACAGAACUGUCAUUGGAAUAUGUUUUUGUGUUCCUCCCAAUACAGCAGUUAGGUGUGAGUUUCCUUCAUGUUACUCAUACUCUAUAAUUUUGUUAUUCAAUUAAACUAUGUUUUAUAUGUCUUUAUGUCCAAUGUGGAUUGUUUUUGUCACUGUAUACAGCUUGCACACCCUAAAACUUUACUCAGGUGACCUUUCUUAACCCUAAGAUAAUAAAUGAUCUCAGGCUUUGAAUAAAGGGACUAUUGUAUAAGA